rnacentral:rRNA from 1 species
CCUACGGGCUGCACCAGUGGGGAAUAUUGCACAAUGGGCGCAAGCCUGAUGCAGCCAUGCCGCGUGUGUGAAGAAGGCCUUCGGGUUGUAAAGCACUUUCAGCGGGGAGGAAGGCGAUAAGGUUAAUAACCUUGUCGAUUGACGUUACCCGCAGAAGAAGCACCGGCUAACUCCGUGCCAGCAGCCGCGGUAAUACGGAGGGUGCAAGCGUUAAUCGGAAUUACUGGGCGUAAAGCGCACGCAGGCGGUCUGUCAAGUCGGAUGUGAAAUCCCCGGGCUCAACCUGGGAACUGCAUUCGAAACUGGCAGGCUAGAGUCUUGUAGAGGGGGGCAGAAUUCCAGGUGUAGCGGUGAAAUGCGUAGAGAUCUGGAGGAAUACCGGUGGCGAAGGCGGCCCCCUGGACAAAGACUGACGCUCAGGUGUGAAAGCGUGGGGAGCAAACAGGAUUAGAUACCCGCUUAGUG